rnacentral:snRNA from 1 species
UUUGUUUCAAGGCAUUGUAGGCUGGGAAGAAGAUGGCUAAGAUCAAGUGUGGUAUCUGUUCUUAUCAGUUUAAUAUCUGAUAUGUCCUCUAUUUGAGGACUCCAUAUUAAUCGAAGUUUUAGAAUUGGAGCUAAUUAAA